rnacentral:rRNA from 1 species
GUGGGGAAUAUUGGACAAUGGGCGAAAGCCUGAUCCAGCCAUGCCGCGUGUGUGAAGAAGGUCUUCGGAUUGUAAAGCACUUUAAGUUGGGAGGAAGGGCAGUAAGUUAAUACCUUGCUGUUUUGACGUUACCAACAGAAUAAGCACCGGCUAACUUCGUGCCAGCAGCCGCGGUAAUACGAAGGGUGCAAGCGUUAAUCGGAAUUACUGGGCGUAAAGCGCGCGUAGGUGGUUCAGCAAGUUGGAGGUGAAAUCCCCGGGCGCAACCUGGGAACUGCCUCAAAAACUACUGAGCUAGAGUACGGUAGAGGGUAGUGGAAUUUCCUGUGUAGCGGUGAAAUGCGUAGAUAUAGGAAGGAACACCAGUGGCGAAGGCGACUACCUGGACUGAUACUGACACUGAGGUGCGAAAGCGUGGGGAGCAAACAGGAUUAGAUACCCCUGUAGUCC